UACGUAGGGAGCGAGCGUUGUCCGGAUUCAUUGGGCGUAAAGAGCUCGUAGGCGGCCCUGUAAGUCAGUGGUGAAAUACUCCAGCUUAACUGGAGGGGUGCCAUUGAUACUGCAGGGCUUGAGUGGAGUCGAAGUAGGCGGAAUUGACGGUGUAGCGGUGAAAUGCUUAGAUAUCGUCAAGAACACCGAUAGUGAAGACAGCUUACUAGGCUUCUACUGACGCUGAGGCACGAAAGUGUGGGGAUCAAACAGG
rnacentral:rRNA from 1 species